rnacentral:rRNA from 1 species
UACGUAGGGCGCGAGCGUUGUCCGGAAUUAUUGGGCGUAAAGGGCUCGUAGGCGGUUUGUCGCGUCGGGAGUGAAAUCCACUGGCUUAACUGGUGGCUUGCUUUCGAUACGGGCAGACUAGAGGUAUGCAGGGGAGAACGGAAUUCCUGGUGUAGCGGUGAAAUGCGCAGAUAUCAGGAGGAACACCGGUGGCGAAGGCGGUUCUCUGGGCAUGACCUGACGCUGAGGAGCGAAAGUGUGGGGAGCGAACAGG